AUCACCAUCAUCGCUAUCAUUACCACAGCUAACACCAUAAUCAUGAUGGUGUUGGCUGUGGUAAUGAUAGCGGUGAUGGUGAU